GCUGGGCGUGGUGGCACUUGCCUGUAGUCCCAGCUACUCGGGAGGCUGAGCUGGAAGGAUCACUUGAGCCCAGUCUGGGCUGUAGUGCCAUGCUGAUCCGGUGUCCGCACUAAGUUUGGCAUCAAUAUGGUGACUUCCCGGGAGCGGGGGACCACCAGGUUGCCUAAGGAGGGGUGAACCGGCCCAGGUCAGAAACGGAGCAGGUCAAAACUCCCGUGCUGAUCAGUAGUGGGAUCACACCUGUGAAUAGCCACUGCACUCCAGCCUGGGCAACAUAGUGAGACCUCAUCUCU
rnacentral:SRP_RNA from 1 species